rnacentral:rRNA from 1 species
GACAGAGGAUGCAAGCGUUAUCCGGAAUGAUUGGGCGUAAAGCGUCUGUAGGUGGCUUUUUAAGUCCGCCGUCAAAUCCCAGGGCUCAACCCUGGACAGGCGGUGGGAAACUACCAAGCUGGAGUACGGUAGGGGCAGAGGGAAUUCCGGUGGAGCGGUGAAAUGCGUUGAGAUCGGAAGGAACGCCCGUGGCGAAAGCGAGGUCCUCGGACGUUUCGUGACGCUGAGACGCGAAAGCCAGGGAGCGAACGG